AUGGAGCCCAGUUAGGUAUUUAGUGAUAACUUAUCUCUCAGUGUAGGUUAUAUUGGAAGACCCAUCAAUUAUCUUUCAUUUGUGCAUAAAAACAUUAAAUUCUUCGUAAAAUAUCACUGGAGAUCUCCCUAAAGCAUUUUUCGAGAAGCAUGGCAAAGUCACCCCCGUUUACGGUACCAACCUGUUUGCAAUCCUACAGUUGGCGAAGGAUCAGCCCUUCAUGACGGUGCGGGAUGUGGGAGCGGCCACGGGCGCUCCUCAUCUGCACCCGACCUGCAUCUCCAACCGUCUGAAAGAGGGGGGACUGCGGACCUACAGGGCUGCCCCAGCUUUGCACCUCAGUGAAGUCAACAAAGCAAACCGCGUGCUUUUCGCCCAAGAACUGCUCCCGAAGCCCGUGGAGUUCUGGUCAAGAGUUAUUUUCUCGGACGAGAAAAUCUUCCGGACUGACCAAACGGGAAAGCUGCUUGUCCGAAGGCCGAAGGGACUGCGCGACUCGGAGUCCUUCCUACGGACAAGAGACGCUAGUGGACGGCAGUCUGUUCACGCGUGGGGGUGGGUGGAUGGGUUUGGGCCCGGAGAACUCCACCGUGUCAUCGGGCGCCACACAGCUGACACAUAUGUGGAGAUUCUCGAUGAGGUCCUGCUCCCGACGUUGGAGCAAAUGCGAGGGGCGGCUCACCAGCACGUGCUUGUGCAAGACCAUGCUCCUCAACACACGGCAGCCGUCACCAAAAACUGGUUUGAGGAGCACCAAGCUCAAGUAAAUGAUUAUAUUGCUAUCUGCUGAAAAGUUGUGGAGUAAACAAAU